rnacentral:misc_RNA from 1 species
UGAGACUACUUAAGGAGGAGCAACGUAACGCCGAAAGAAGUAAUAAAUCUUCUACCUGUGUCAUCUUAUGACCAAGCCAUCUGCGCAUGUCUAUUCUAUUGUGUCGUCAUCUGAGAGAAAAAUUACUGCACAUCCUGUGUUCUUUUUGCGUGUCGUUCAAUACGGAUGCGUUCUGCACAUGCGUGAAAUGUUAAUGACGUUAUUUCUGUCAUUGAACCUACGUGUUGGCGUUCCAAUGUUUUCUUGUAUCUAUCUGUCAAUAAAUACACAGAUUGUUUCUCUGUGUAUUUGACUGUUACUUAUUAUUUAUUUAUUCUUACUACACACAAGUCAUUAUAUACAUAUGUGAUAUUUCUUCAUAAUUUAUUCUACAAUAUUGUUUUAUGAUAUACGUUACUUUAUAAUAAAUUAUUUAUUUCUCU